GGCGGUCCUUCAAGUCCGUGUGUGUAAUUCCAGGGCUCAACCCUGGAACUGCGCCGGAUACUGCUGGACUAGAGGGCGAGCGGAGAGAGCGGAACUCCCGGUGUAGCGGUGGAAUGCGCAGAUAUCGGGGGGAACACCAGUAGCGAAGGCGGCUCUCUAGCUCGCUCCUGACGCUGAGGCCCGAAAGCCAGGGGAGCGAAGGGGAUUAGAUACCCCCGUAGUCCUGGCCCUAAACUAUGCACGCUAGGUGUCGGGUCCCUUGAGGACUCGGUGCCGCAGGGAAACCAUUAAGCGUGCCGCCUGGGGAGUACGCUCGCAAGGGUGAAACUCAAAGGAAUUGACGGGGGCCUGCACAAGCGGCGGAGCGCGUGGUUCAAUUCGAUGCUCACCGAAGAACCUCACCUGGGCUUGACAUGCUGGUGGUACCCCGGGUGAAAGCCCGGGGGACCUUCGGGAGCCAGCACAGGUGUUGCACGGCAGUCGUCAGCUCGUGCCGUGAGGUGUUGGGUUAAGUCCCGCAACGAGCGCAACCCCUGCCAUUAGUUGCUAUUGGCGAUCAUGUAUCGUCAAGCACUCUAAUGGGACUGCCGGCGGUGAGCCGGAGGAAGGCGGGGAUGACGUCAUGUCCGUGUGGCCUUUAUGUCCAGGGCUACACACGCGCUACAAUGGCCGGCACAAAAGGAAGCAAUACCGCGAGGUGGAGCAAAUCCCAAAAACCGGCCUCAGUUCGGAUUGCAGGCUGCAACCCG
rnacentral:rRNA from 1 species